GGGUGCGUGGGAGAGUAGCUAUUCCACCUCUCUGUAAAAGAGGCGCCUUAGGGCUUCGCAGGUGCAAUUCCUGCCGCACCCA
rnacentral:tRNA from 1 species